UCCGGAGGGAGCUAGCGUUGUUCGGAAUUACUGGGCGUAAAGCGCGCGUAGGCGGCUUUGUAAGUUAGAGGUGAAAGCCCGGGGCUCAACCCCGGAACUGCCUUUAAGACUGCAUCGCUUGAAUCCGGGAGAGGUGAGUGGAAUUCCGAGUGUAGAGGUGAAAUUCGUAGAUAUUCGGAAGAACACCAGUGGCGAAGGCGGCUCACUGGACCGGUAUUGACGCUGAUGUGCGAAAGCGUGGGGAGCAGACAGG
rnacentral:rRNA from 1 species